GAGUUUGAUUAUGGCUCAGAUUGAACGCUGGCGGCAUGCCUUACACAUGCAGGUCGAACGGCAGCGGGCCCUUCGGGGUGCCGGCAAGUGGCGAACGGGUGAGUAACACAUCGGAACGUACCCUGUGGUGGGGGAUAACCCGUCGAAAGACGGGCUAAUACCGCAUAAGCUCUGCGGAGGAAAGCGGGGGACCGUCAAGGCCUCGCGCCACAGGAGCGGCCGAUGUCCGAUUAGCUAGUUGGUAGGGUAUAGGCCUACCAAGGCGACGAUCGGUAGCGGGUCUGAGNGGACGGCCCGCCACACUGGGACUGAGACACGGCCCAGACUCCUACGGGAGGCAGCAGUGGGGAAUCUUGGACAAUGGGGGAAACCCUGAUCCAGCAAUGCCGCGUGGGUGAA
rnacentral:rRNA from 1 species